GCCAGUGUAGUGUAGUGAUUUGAGCGCUGGACUAUGGUUCUGGAGACCAGGGUUCAAUUCCCAGCUCAGUCA